AUGAGGCACUGCAGGACAGGACUGCUGCUUCUAACUAUCUGCUGGGCAGGCGUUUCCAGUCAGACUCUGAGUGAGUCUGAACCAGCGCUGAAGCUCCCAGGAGAAUCCCAUAAACUGACCUGUACCUAUGCAGGAAUAUCAGAUGAUGAUGCUCCUAUCAGCUGGAUCAGACAAGCUGAAGGAAAAGGACUGGAGUGGAUCGCCCACAUUUCUGCUCCGAGUGGACAAAAUAAAUAUUAUUCCACGUCUGUCCUGAAUCGUUUCACCAUUUCCAGAGACAACGCCGUGGACCAGGUGUCUCUGCAGAUGAACAAUCUGACGACUGAAGACUCUGCUGUUUAUUAUUGUGCUCGGAGGCCACAGUGAUGCAGGAAGCCACACAACUGUACAAAAACUUCACCCAUCUCACUGUGUCAGUCGCUGAUACUAAGGAUUUAUAAAAUACCCCCUAGUGUUGAUUGUUGGAACCAGGGGGAGACACUGGAAGGAUGGACUAGAUAACCUAGAAGUUCAUUCAAAGUUAAUUUUAAUCAUAUUCAGCAACCGUACUAUCUCACUGAAAAGUAAUUAAGGUAACAAAUAUGUUUUCACUCCUUACGUUUUUGUCCUUUCUGCAGGUUGUGUGCAAGUAGAGUGUCAGGAACGGGGAAGGCAGAGGCAGGCGGGAGGACCCAAACACUGACUUGCAAACAAAAAGGUACUUUUAAUAAUCAAACUCUGAAACUACAAAAUCACA